UCCCUGGUGGUCUAGUGGUUAGGAUUCAGCACUCUCACUGCUGUGGCCUAGGUUCGUUUCCUGGUCAGGGAA
rfam:Loxodonta africana unplaced genomic scaffold scaffold_23, whole genome shotgun sequence.